rnacentral:rRNA from 1 species
GAUGAACGCUGGCGGCGUGCUUAACACAUGCAAGUCGAACGAUGAAGCCCAGCUUGCUGGGUGGAUUAGUGGCGAACGGGUGAGUAACACGUGAGUAACCUGCCCUUAACUCUGGGAUAAGCCUGGGAAACUGGGUCUAAUACCGGAUAGGAGCGUCCACCGCAUGGUGGGUGUUGGAAAGAUUUAUCGGUUUUGGAUGGACUCGCGGCCUAUCAGCUUGUUGGUGAGGUAAUGGCUCACCAAGGCGACGACGGGUAGCCGGCCUGAGAGGGUGACCGGCCACACUGGGACUGAGACACGGCCCAGACUCCUACGGGAGGCAGCAGUGGGGAAUAUUGCACAAGGGGCGCAAGCCUGAGGCAGCGACGCCGCGUGAGGGAGGACGGCCUUCGGGUUGUAAACCUCUUUCAGUAGGGAAGAAGCGAAAGUGACGGUACCUGCAGAAGAAGCACCGGCGAACUACGU